GGCGGCGUCCGAGGCGUGCGCGGGUCAGAGGUCGUGCGCCGGCGGGCCCCGCCCCUGCGCGCGGUAGUCGGGCUUCCGAGCGGCGGGCGGUGAGGGUCCCAGGAAACCAGUGAGCAUGGUGCUCAGUAGUUUGGAUAAGACGAUCCAGCUCCAGAAAAACACCGCUAACAUCAGGAAUAUCUGUGUUUUGGCUCAUGUUGACCAUGCUAAGAUACAUGGACAGCAGAUAAAAUGAACAGAUACGAGGGAUCACUGUGAAAUCCAGUGCCAUUUCCCUGCACUAUACCAACAGUGAGUCAGUGGACGUUUUAGAGAAAAACAAUAUUGUAUCUUCCAUAGCCUCUCUCUCUCCCUGAAUUAAUUGCAUGCCUAAGUUUCUUUACUUUGUAUUCCAUGAAUUUCGUUCUGGCCUCCAAGUGCUCUACUGUCAGUCAGGCUGUCCAGGCUCGGAUGUGGAUGGGGGCCUCUGGCUGGCUGGCCGCACGGGAGCGGCAGUCUCGCUGCCCACCUCCACCCCGGAGAUUCAGAGGAAGGUCAGGACUCCCGGGAGCCUGCGGGCGCAGCCCGUGUGUCCCAGUUCCUGGCCACGUCCUCCUGGUCUGUGACUUGUAUUGAAUUUAGAGUCUUGUUUACCUAAGUGUGGGCUGCAUGGUCCCUACAGCUUGUUUCCCCAAAUCAGGUUGUCAUUUUGACAGUAACACCUCUAGAAAUUUAUCUUGACAGGAAUAGUUCAGUCAGAAUGUGAGAUACACAUUCAUUGAUAAUUCACCGAAAAGUUUGUAUUAGUGGAAAAGCAAGUGCCAACCUUAAUGUCUUGUCUUUGAAAAUAGUUAAGUAAACAUAUAUCCAUGCUGUUCAAACUCUUUUCUCUAUAUGUAAUAUAGAGAAAAUAUGUGAAGAGACAAAAACCCAGUUGCAAAAUAAGUACUUGUAAGAUAUGAAUGUGUUUAGGUUAUAAAAAUAUGUAUGUAGAUAAAGAUGUCUGGAAAGGUACAUACCAAAAUCUAAGAUUAGCUAUCUGCAGGAAAUGGAUUAUGUGAAAUGUACAUUUUUAAGAGUAUUUAUUUUUGUAUUGUUUGGAAAUUUUACACAAAAGUAUUUUCAUAAUUAGAAAACAAUAAUAAAGAUGAAUUUCAUUUCAGUAAUGGACUGACCUGUGGUUCAUCCUCCGCUGUGGUGUAUCUCUGGCACUGACACCAAGUGACAUACUGUAUGGGGCAAGACUGCCCCCUUGAGAUUUCAAGAGCUUCGUGGCUUCCAUUUUCCGCACAUGUAUUAGUCUGUUUUCAGUUCAGUUGAAUAUUCCCCAAAGGUCAGUUUUAGUUACUCUCCCUGGACGUUGUCUCCAGUUCUCCUGCCCCCUUUUCUAAACAUUUUAUAAGGUUUACUUAAUGCUGUAUACUCCCAUAAAACUCCUAAGUUGACUUUUGUCUUUCUGAUAUAGUUUUGUAGGGGAAUGGGUAUAGGACCCUGAGAAUUGAAUGGUCAAGUCUAUGUUUGUUGAACUCAUGACCUGUUUCCUACCUACCCCUCUUUGUGCCCCUCCCACAAAGAUACCAUACAUUAAUCUGGUCAUUUCAAGAGUUAGGAAAUACUCCCAACAAUACACAUUCUAUAAAAAGGCCUAAGAGGUUGUAAUAUCUUGGAGUCCAGUAGCCUAGAAUGCAGAUAGAGAUGAGAGAAAUGUAUUCAAAUAGGCUGAGGAGUCUGACGUUUGUGGACUCGCCAGUCUCAGGCUGUCCUGUCAUCCCUGCUCUGUGGCAGUUCUGUGCACCUGUGAGCGAACACUGCUCUUGGCCCAACUCCUGAAGUUCUCACUCUGAUUUGUCUUUUUAAAAUUUUCAAAUGAGUUUACAGAUUUAUAUUAUAGAAAGUUCAGUAUGCUAUACAAAUACAGUUAAACACAAGAAUGAAAAAUUACUACUUGUUUAACCGCCAGUUAUUUUUUCUCAGUUUUUACAUUUAAUCCAGCCAUAAUUGCAUGUGUGUUUUGCACAUAAGCUGUGAGGUAGGUAUCUAACUUAUGUCCCCCCAAGUAGGUAACUCACUCACUCCAGCCUCAGUUAGACGUGAUUAAGUACUGUGUUACUAGUUGUCAACACAGUGUCAAGGCCCACACAUCUGACAUGAGUGAGGCCGUCUGGGGGAACUCUUAGGGCUAGAGAGUGGGUUUUGCUGCCUAUGAGACACACCUCCCUGGAUGGGGGCGAGUGCCAUCAGCUCCGGCUGAUCGGUGCCCUGGAGGAAUCUGUUUUUUCAAGAAAAGUUGACAUCAAGAUUUUUGGUAGGAUUUUCCAGUUUUUAAAAUAUUGAGAGCUUAUUUAAAAAUUAUAAAAUGGUCGAGCACAGUGCAGUGGGCUUUAACUUAGAGGCAUUCAGGCAUGUGGGCCGGCCAUUAUCCGGGCAGUGGAACGCUCAGGGCUCACCCAGGCGGUCGCCGCAGGCAGCUCAGACGUGCCCCCGGUGCUGAGACCGAGGACACGGUGGGGCUUUCUGCAAAGACGUCCAAACGCAGAUUCAUUUCUUUGUGAACAGCUCAGCCAGGUUGAGUGGCUGGCUGUGCUCUGGUGGGGAACUUGCACCCACCUUGGUCUCUCUCGGCCCUGUGGCUCUGCCCCCAGUCCCCCCAGACUGACCUGCGCGGACGCUGACUAAGGCCAUCCAGGCUCACACAAGGCCCACACGCGUCAGGAAGU